GGGUUGGUAGCUCAAUGGUAGAGCAGCGUCCUUUUAAGUCGUUGGUUCCGGGUUCGAAUCCCGGCCAACCCACCA
rnacentral:tRNA from 1 species